CCGGGCUGCCGGCCUCUCCCCCUCUUGAGCCGGGUGGCCGUCGGGGCAGCCUGAGGAGACCAGGCUGCCCGUCCCUAGCGCUGCCUGGGGCCGGGCCGGGAGGGUUGGGUUGUGUUGUGGCGCACAGUUGCUGUGGCCCGCCGGAGAGGGACUAUCAGGUCGCUGGUUUCCAAGGCGCUAGAAGGGACGAAGAGGUGCCUGGUGGUUUCUCUCCAAGGAGAGACGCCUGGAGAAGAGAGGCCCCUUUACCGUGACAUCACCGGCAAACUCAAAGCUAUGUCCCGGUUUUCUGAUCACUUCAAAAACAUUUGAACCAGGAGGGACAAGAUCGUGGCUGCAGAAGAGGUCUGGACUGAGAGGUGACUUGGGUGGAGGACUUGGCCACAGUAACAGCAAACUAUUGAGGAACCAGGAACAAUAAGGAAGGCUGGAGUGGAAGAGUCUAUGCAACCUGACAUAAGGUGUACCCUGGGGACCAAAACAGUUCACCCAUUUCCAAGAAUGAGGACUGCUAUGGUUGGAAUGAAGGGUUCUCUACCCAUCAGUAUGACUGUGACUCCCACUAUAUUAGGGGAGGGAUGCAAGGCCCAAAAUUCAGACCCAGAAUCAUCUCUUCUGCAGACUAUACUUUAUCUCUUGUGGUGUUUUCCCUUAGCCUAAAGAGGAGUCAGGAAGUCCUUGUGUUUCCUUGAGAAGCAAUCAGAAUCUGACAGGGACAAGAACCUGAGUUACUGUGUCCGGUGGCCCCAUCGUUGCUUUGUGGCUCCCUGCAAUUGCAUGGGUUGCAGCUGCCUAAUACCGCUGCUGCUUAUGGAAGAAGACUGAAAGAGCUUGGCUUGGUUAGCCUAGCAAAACAAAGGGUGCCCAAAGGAGAGCUGAGCUCAUCGGAGGAUAAGAUUUCAGUUGUGGGUGCUGUGCACUGGAAAAUCAAUAAUGAAGAGCCCGUAAUGAUCCAAGUCAACAUCCCCUACCUGUCGCUAUGCUGUAUUUGCAACCACUUCUCAAGCCCAUGGGAGAUGCACCUGCACAGCAGCCACAGAAUUGAGGACUAUCUAAUUGCAAUCAAGCUUUCCAUGAUAACCUGCCAUAGGGAGGAAUUAAUUUUGUGGCAUUUUUACUAUUCUCUUUCAUCAUUUGAGUCAGAGCAAUGAAGCAUCCAUCCGGAUUAGAAGGAAAAAAUGGUACUUGUGAACAGAACUAGACUGACAGGUCUGGCAACAGAAAUCCAUGUGGAACACAUUGCAGCCACGGACACAGACAGGCAGCAUGAGUAUUAUUUAAGGUGACAAGAAAUGUCAGGGUUCCUGGAUGGUCAUGCAGGUUGUGCAGAUCAUUGUGCAGAGGCCUUGGGUCUGUGGAGACAUCUGUGGUAGAGACAAAUGUGCUGGACACAGAAGCAGGAACAAGCGUCUGUGGCUGAACUUGUCCCAAGUGGGAGAAUAAGGUACUGAUCCAGGACACUUAUCUCACCUGCUUUCAUUGGGCUCCUCCCCUGGUACGCAUUGAGCCCUGGAUGAUAUGAAUGUGUACCCACUAGCAGAGUGGGGGUCUUCGCUCUCCUUCUAGUGAUUGGCUCACAGAAGAGGAUAAAAGUCUACUAUAGUCACCGGUACAGGAGUUAGGUCUUUCGCUCAAGCAGUGUAGAUCAUCCUUUUGACAAUGAAGGUCCUGGAGUGCAAUCCCACUGACAGCCCAGGCGGGGACAUUAUGAUGUGACAUGCUCAAUAGCAGCAGGUGUCACUUUCCAAGGCCAGGCCACCCUUUAAUCCUUUUCUGUCCAUUCAGAACAAAGUAGUUGCUAACUCCCUUUGGUGGAUUUUUUCCCUUCUUUUUAAUGGCACUAGAAUAACCUUGGGGGACUAGAGGGCUUUUUCUUCAUUUUGUUGUGGCCCCUCCCCCGCCAUGGUGGUCUUUCUUCCCCCUUUGUUCCUGCUGGUCCUGAUUGUGACCUUUCCCAGAACCCAGGCCUUGCCUAGGGAUACUCCUAGGAGUUACAUACACAACGUUCAUCUCCAUUCAAAAUGCCUAGUAGCGAGGAUGCAAAUUUGGGAACAGCCAGGAGCAUAUAGUCACAAAUAUAAUAUCAUUCACUCCUUAAAACAGCUGUCGUUCAGCUCAAAGCUAGGUAUCCAGUGGGACCCAUCAGCAUUCUUCUA